rnacentral:rRNA from 1 species
CUACGGGUGGCUCCAGUGGGGAAUAUUGCACAAUGGGCGCAAGCCUGAUGCAGCCAUGCCGCGUGUAUGAAGAAGGCCUUCGGGUUGUAAAGUACUUUCAGCGGGGAGGAAGGGAGUAAAGUUAAUACCUUUGCUCAUUGACGUUACCCGCAGAAGAAGCACCGGCGAACUCCGUGCCAGCAGCCGCGGUAAUACGGAGGGUGCAAGCGUUAAUCGGAAUUACUGGGCGUAAAGCGCACGCAGGCGGUUUGUUAAGUCAGAUGUGAAAUCCCCGGGCUCAACCUGGGAACUGCAUCUGAUACUGGCAAGCUUGAGUCUCGUAGAGGGGGGUAGAAUUCCAGGUGUAGCGGUGAAAUGCGUAGAGAUCUGGAGGAAUACCGGUGGCGAAGGCGGCCCCCUGGACGAAGACUGACGCUCAGGUGCGAAAGCGUGGGGAGCAAACAGGAUUAGAUACCCCGGUAGUC